CCUACGGGUGGCAGCAGUGGGGAAUAUUGCACAAUGGGGGAAACCCUGAUGCAGCGACGCCGCGUGAGCGAUGAAGUAUUUCGGUAUGUAAAGCUCUAUCAGCAGGGAAGAAAAUGACGGUACCUGACUAAGAAGCCCCGGCUAACUACGUGCCAGCAGCCGCGGUAAUACGUAGGGGGCAAGCGUUAUCCGGAUUUACUGGGUGUAAAGGGAGCGUAGACGGCGAUGCAAGUCAGAUGUGAAAGCCCGGGGCUCAACCCCGGGACUGCAGUUGAAACUGGAUAGCUAGAGUGUCGGAGAGGCAGGCGGAAUUCCAAGUGUAGCGGUGAAAUGCGUAGAUAUUAGGAGGAACACCAGUGGCGAAGGCGACCAGCUGGACGAUGACUGACGUUGAGGCUCGAAAGCGUGGGGAGCAAACAGGAUUAGAUACCCGUGUAGUC
rnacentral:rRNA from 1 species